UACGUAGGGGGCAAGCGUUGUCCGGAAUCAUUGGGCGUAAAGAGCGUGUAGGCGGCCCGAUAAGUCCGCCGUGAAAGUCCAGGGCUCAACCCUGGAAUGCCGGUGGAAACUGUCGGGCUCGAGUCCGGAAGGGGCGAGUGGAAUUCCUGGUGUAGCGGUGAAAUGCGCAGAUAUCAGGAGGAACACCAAUGGCGAAGGCAGCUCGCUGGGACGGUACUGACGCUGAGACGCGAAAGCGUGGGGAGCAAACAGG
rnacentral:rRNA from 1 species